rnacentral:misc_RNA from 1 species
AACGCAUCUUGCGCCCUUUGGUAUUCCGAAGGGCAUGCCUGUUUGAGUGUCAUGAAAAUCUCAUCCCAUCGGGUUUCCGAUGACGAUGGACUUGGGUGUUGCCGUCCGGCUCGCCUUAAAGGAGUUAGCGGUUCUUAGGUUGAAUCUGGCGUAAUAAGUUUCGUCGGUGGAUAUCGAAGGCUGCUCAUAACCCGUCUUCUGACAUCUUUUGCUCUGACCUCAAAUCAGGUAGGACUACCCGCUGAACUUAA